GGGAGGGGCCGUGAGGGGAGCGGGGACGCGAAUGGGGGGGAGCGGGAACCGGAGUGGCGGGCAGAGCUCGGCGGCAGCUCGUGAAACUGGAAUCACAGCGAGUUGAUAGAAACCAAGUGUAGAAUGGAGCUGGUUGGUUCCACCAUGAGCCGAAAGAGCUCUUGUACUUGCUGGUCUCCUGGCACAGGUCGGGUCUUCAGGGCUAAAUGCAAACCCCUGUGGAAAUGCCAGAGAGCAGCUGUCCAAGGGCUGAGCAAGCCUGGCAUAGCUAUCAGGAAUCCGUGUCUUCUUUUGCAAUGGAGUGUGGGGUGUGAGCUUUUCGCUAACUUUUCCUAAACAGCAGAGGCCCAUGGUACCUUCAGUUUUGAUUUGACCUGUCAAUCACAGUUUGCCUGGCAAACAAAGUGGGGCUUAAACAUAAUUGUGCACACUGUAAAACACCAGCCGGCACAGCGGGUUUGUUAAUUGCGGACCUUUAGUUGGGGCCUGUCCCCAAAGCUGACACCAUAUUCAGAUGAGCUUGCAGGCCAUCAAACAGACUGGAGGAUCUGGAGAACCUGAGAGAUGUUUAUGCCGUGAUGUAUCCAAGGGAUGGGCAUUUACCACGUUGCUUCUUACAGCGACAAAGGGGUUGCAAGGAGCUGGGUAAGGUGUUUGAAGAGCCUGCUUUCACUCCAUCUCAGGAUUCUGUGGACUGAAUUUAUAGCUGGCUUGAAUUAAUUACGUUUUAGAGAGUUCAGCAACUUUGUGGGUGAUAUUAUGUAAUUUUUUGCUCUUACUGACUGCUUCAAGCUUCUCUUGGUCAGAAUUUAACUCAUAAAGUGACUGGAUUGUAAAAUAACAGGUUCCCUAGCAGAGAAGUACAUAUUAAACCAUGGAUGUGUCAAAAUAAGAAUAAAACUCAAUUAAUUAAAUCCCAUUUAGAAAACUGUAGAAAUGUGUCACAUAAAAUAUUUCUAUAUAGUAACUCGUCACUUGGCUGGCAGCUCAGUUUCAAGUUUUUUUCAAAUGUUGUGACUGAUGGAGAAUGAAAAAUACUCUUCAAGACCAGUGCUUUUCAAGUAGGUUCAAUUUCUCGUUUUCCUUUUAAAUUUUCACAUUUUCAUGUAAGGAAUAGGAAACAAGAGGUGUGUCUAGCCAUUAAGUAACGCAACUCCUGGACUGAAAACAUUUUGUCAUCUAUUGAUUUGCUUUGAACUCACUUAACAGACUUCCUUAAUAAGCACACAGAUGUUGCUGGGCAUUGGCUUUCGGAGUGGGAAUCUUAAAGACGGGAAGGCAUUGUUGGGAAAGGCUUCCAGAUUUCUGGAGAUAUGAAUCUGCAUUCAGGACUAAAGCUUUCCAAGUCUGUGUGGAAUGGCUGACGAUUUCCCAUAAGAAAAUUCCUGUGGCACCAAAAAUAUGAGC